GCCCAAUAAAUGCAAUGGAGUUGCUCAGUCAUUCAAACUACUGAAAAUACCCCCUCAAGAUUCCACAAUGUGGCCCGGGGAUUUAGCUCAGUGGUUCCACUGCCUGCCUCGCAAGCACAAGGACUCGAGUUCGAUCCCCAGUAACAAAACAAAGGUUCCAUGAUUCCCCCACUGAGAACCACUAACUUAGAGGAACGGAGAACAAAGAGCAGCAGUGGGAAGUUUCCAAAGAAAAUUGCGUCAGACCCCACUGCUAUGUACAGAAGUUGUAUUUCCCUGGGAAGGAACCACAACCAGUCUGCAUGCACUAAGCUCAGUUUACAAAUCUGCAAUUGCCUGGUGGAUACAAGUGGCUCACAUCACAAAGCCCUUCUGCAUGACCAAGAGGACAGAGUUACACACUUCACCAAGAUAAGAUGUUGUCAAGAUGCUGCCUGGAAUGGAAUUAUGUACUCUUCUAGGCACAAGGAGGGAAUGGAAGCUUGGAAAAGAAAGUGACCAACUCAUAACUCACAGCCAGCAAACCUGAGCCUCGAGGAUGGGUCUUCUGAGAUGCCGAACCCAGACCCAGCGAGGAAUAAACUUUCCACAGAAGAUUAUUAAUCUUCCCACAAAGUGAAAAAGAUGGGAUUUGAGUCUUGUUUUGUGUCUUUCUGGUACACAUUCCAAAAUGAGCUCAGGUUAUGGCUUAUUAUUCUUGAGAAUGGCUUUUUACCUAAGUGAUGUGACCAGGGAGAAGAACCCUUAUCUGUCCUGCUUUGAACUGCAGGACUGAGACAUGCGGAGAAGGAAAGGGGGCAGAUGGCGGGACCCUCUCAGACAGGAGGUCUGUGUGCUGGUGGGCAAGGGAGGGACAUGUAGGCAGCAAAGAUGACGGGAGGCCAGGAAAAGAAGGGGAAAGAGACGAGAGAGAUGCUGAUGCCUGGGCUGAACAGAAAAUUACAUAUCUAGUAUAUGGCCAGGCUACUGAACUAGACAACAGGUACUAGAAGGUAAAUAUUCUCACCUUUCUUACAGAAGAAAAAUCAUUCUAUCUUUUCCUUCUUUCAGAGCUGUCCCCUGUCCCUAAGAUAGGGACAGGAGUCCACCAUUUUCUAUAUGAUCCCAUGGUUAGCCUAUCUGUGCAACCUAUGCUUUUCUGGUAUUAUAGAUAGAUGAGCUAGGUAAAAACACUAUAGGCAGUCAGAUAGGGCUAAGUCCGCUAGAGGGCCAGAACAGAGGUGAAAUAUACCACAGCUGUAUGUCGGCUGAAAAUCAGGCCUCAAGAUGGAGACAAGAUGACCAGACCCACAUACUACUUCUUCAAAGAGCUGGGCUUAGUGAAGUAUAGAUAGGCAUUGACCACCCUGGAUGUGACCAGAGACCUCUGGACCCACCGCCUCCUAAGAGAACCAUUAUUCUUUCCAUCCAUGCUUACUAUGUGACU